rnacentral:tRNA from 1 species
GCGUCCUUAGCUCAGUUGGAUAGAGUACCUGGCUACGAACCAGGCGGUCGGAGGUUCGAAUCCUCCAGGACGCG